AAGAUUUUAGUAUAAAUUAAAUACUUUAGUUUUAAAAACUAAAAAUUUUAUCUUA
rnacentral:tRNA from 1 species